UCUAUGAUUUUUCUAUGAAAUUAUAUAUUAUGUUAAAAGUAUUAAUUUAGUUUUACCAAUUUUAUAGGAGAAAAAGGUACAAACACAUUUGUCUUCAUGUAUCAACAUGAAUAUGUUCGCUGAUCUGUUGACCUUCCUUGGUCAAGAUAAGUUCCAACAAUUUUUACAAGAAAUACCAUUUGAAUUUUUUUAUGAUUUACAUAACAAUUUUUCUUCUUGAAACUGAAAAUAACAGAGAUGACAUGUUCGUUAUCAACGUAAAUAGUACAGAGUAACACUUUGGAUUAAAAGAAUUUAUCGCUAUAACCGGUCUGAAAUUUGGACCGAUUUUUUAUUUUGUUUCUGAUUCGUCUAUUCCAAAUAGACUUAUCACAGAAAACUUUGGGGAUAUGGACAAAGUCCCCAAGUCAAAUUUUUACCACAUGUUUAGAUUGAAAAACUUUAGGGAAGAGGAUGACCUUUUAAAAUUCGAAAUUCUGUACUUCAUUUCGUCAUUUCUGAAUGCUUCAGACCCUUCAAAAACUACCAUUUUCAAAUUAUAUUUUGAUUUAGUUGAGUCUGGCCAGUAUGACACAUUUUCAUGGGGAAAUGAGUAUUUUAAUUUAACACUUAAAGCGUGCAAUCAUAAGUUGAAAAAAAUUCUUCGUCAUUCAAGUUCAGCCAGUUCCAUAUAGCCUUGCAGGUAUGGUUUUAUGAGUGUUGUCAUCCAUUUGACAACACAAUUGCUAUCCAUGCUUUAGAUCGCACACUGCAUAUCCUGAACUAGAAGACAACAAAUUACGUUAUUUUAUUUAUGAUUUGAAGAAAACGACAUUCAUAACACAUGAAAAUCAGCAUAAAUUCAGAAAUAUGAUUUUUACUGAAGAAGAGUUAAAUGUCAUGGAUGAGACUAUUUUAAAUCAAUCUCCCAGUCACCAUGAUUCUGAAGAGCAAGGAACCUCGAAAAAACAUGACGUUGAUUUUGAACAAAAAUAUGUAGAGUUGAAAGCUGAAAUUAAAGAGGUUAAGGCGGAGUUGAAAGAUCUCAAAGUUAAUAUGAAGCUCAAAAGUCAAGUGGUGAUUUUUUCAACACUGACGUACUUGGAUCAUCAACUUCAGACCACCAACAUUGGAUGAUUAUCCUAAUUUUACUAUGACACAAAUCAUUGCACUUGAUCCAAUUCUAGAUGCUACCACAACUCCAAACGUGCAACCAAGACAUAAGAAUUCCAGCAAAUACGAAUCUUCUCCUUAUAUUAGACUGUCGGAAAACGAAAGCAGUUCAAAGAGAGUACCUAUUUUCUUCCCAAUCAAACAUCCAUUCCAAAGUCAUAAUGGGUUUGAUGUUCCAGCUGACAUGAUCAAGGAGUUCAACCAAUGGGUUAUCAAAGAUGUUUCAAACAGGUGUGACAGGAAAGCAGCAUAUUCAAAGGUUAAAAUAUCUUUCAUCCUCAAAUGGACUUUGGCUUCGUCAAAAUCGCAGAAAUUCUUUUUUCCAUAUAAUGAGUCAACCGGGCAAACCUUGGGAGGACUGGCAUGUUAAUACAACUAUGUAUUAUCUUCGAAAGAAGGCAAAAUACUCACAAACGUUAACUUCAUACAAUACUGAUUGAUAACAUUGAGAAGCACUGGAGAUAGUCAGAUUGCGACAUGAGAUGCAUUGCCCCCGAUCAUGAUGUUGGACAGUGCAUUAGAGGAUUUAAGAUGCUUGCUAACAUUACUUGGGAUAAGGUUGACGAAGUAAUUAUCCCUGUCUAUAUCAUCGAGAAAUUUCAUUUGGUGCUUGUUGUAUUCCGAAUUAAACUUAGAUGUCUACAUAUAUAUGAUUCGAUGAGUGGAGGAUCUGUUCACAACAAAAAAGUGCAAGAAGCUGUUGAUAAACUUGCAACCAUGAUACCAUUAUUUCUGGCGAGCACAGGGUUUUAUGGAAAAAGACUUGAUCCAUAUGCUAACAAUCUCCCUGAUUAUCAACACAAGUCUUAAUCCGGACCUCUCAAUAUCAAACAUGUGACAGAUGUUCCUCAACAAGAAGACAGUUCCAAACCUCUAUUUUUAUCGAAUAUAUCAGCAAUGGUGUUUUUGAUGUGUCUGCUAUUGAUAUCGAUUCAACAUAUCAUCGUCCGAACUAUGCCACAUUACUUUGGUAUUAUGCAAAAUCAAAGAAUGAAGAGGGGCCAAUAAGUGAAAGUGAAGUUACGAGUACAGUUGCUAGCAAGUAUGGUGGACCUCGCACGCCAAAAGAACAAGUUAUGGACACCACCAAUUAUCCUACUCCAAGACCAUGUAAUAGAAAGUAAAAAAAGUUCAUUGCACCCUUUACAUUAUUUUGAAUGAAACUGUUGAACUAUUUAUGUUAUUUUCCAGUUCAGUAUUAUUA